CCCAGACUCCUACGGGAGGCAGCAGUGGGGAAUUUUGGACAAUGGGCGCAAGCCUGAUCCAGCUAUUCCGCGUGUGGGAUGACGGCCCUCGGGUUGUAAACCACUUUAGUAGAGAACGAAAAGGAGCUAUCGAAUAAAUAGCUCUGCUGACGGUACUCUAAGAAAAAGCAUCGGCUAACUCCGUGCCAGCAGCCGCGGUAAUACGGAGGAUGCGAGCGUUAUCCGGAUUUAUUGGGUUUAAAGGGUGCGUAGGCGGGCUGUUAAGUCAGCGGUAAAAGCCCGGGGCUCAACCCCGGCGAGCCGUUGAAACUGGCUGUCUUGAGAUGUCGAGAGGUAUGCGGAAUGCGCAGUGUAGCGGUGAAAUGCUUAGAUAUUGCGCAGAACUCCGAUUGCGAAGGCAGCAUACCGGCGGCGAUCUGACGCUGAGGCACGAAAGCGUGGGUAUCGAACAGGAUUAGAUACCCUAGUACUC
rnacentral:rRNA from 1 species